AGUAGCGGCGAGCGAACAGGGAAGAGUCCAGCACCGAACCCCGCAGGCUGCCGCCUGUCGUGGCAUGUGGUGUUUGGGAGGGUCCACCACCCCGACGCCUCGCGCCGAGUCCAAGUCCAACUUGAAUGAGGCCACGGCCCGUAGAGGGUGCCAGGCCCGUAGCGGCCGGUGCGAGCGUCGGCGGGACCUCUCCUCCGAGUCGGGUUGUUUGAGAGUGCAGCUCCAAGUGGGUGGUAAACUCCAUCUGAGACUAAAUAUGACCACGAGACCGAUAGCGAACAAGUACCGUGAGGGAAAGUUGAAAAGAACUUUGAAGAGAGAGUUCAAAAGUACGUGAAACCGUUCUGGGGUAAACGUGAGAAGUCCGAAAGGUCGAACGGGCGAGAUUCACGCCCAUCCGGCCACUGGCCCCCGCCCUCGGCAGAUGGGGCCGGCCGCCCGCGCGGAGCAAUCCGCGGCGGGGUCGUGUCCGGUUGCCUUUCCACUCGCCGCGGGGUGGGGCCGUUCCAGUGCGCGGUGGGCCGCACUUCUCCCCUAGUAGGACGUCGCGACCCGCUGGGUGCCGGCCUACGGCCCGGGUGCGCAGCCUGUCCUUCCGCGGGCCUCGGUUCGCGUCUGUGAGGGCAGAACCCCGGUGUCCCGGCUGGCUGCUCGGCGGUACAUCUGGAGGAGUCGAUUCGCCAAACAAAGUGUUUGGGCGCCCGGGCUCCCGGCAAGCGCGCGCGGUUCUUCCCGGAUGACGGACCUACCUGGCCCGGCCCCGGACCCGCGCCGCUGUUGGCUCGGGAUGCUCUCGGGCGGAAUAAUCGCUCCCGUCAGCGGCGCUUCAGCUUUGGACAAUUUCACGACCCGUCUUGAAACACGGACCAAGGAGUCUAACAUGUGCGCUAGUCAUUGGGCUGUACGAAGCCUAAAGGCGUAAUGAAAGUGAAGGUCUCGCCUUGCGCGGGCCGAGGGAGGAUGGGGCUUCCCCGCCCUUCACGGGGCGGCGGCCUCCGCACUCCCGGGGCGUCUCGUCCUCAUUGCGAGGUGAGGCGCACCUAGAGCGUACACGUU
rnacentral:rRNA from 1 species